UACGUAGGGUGCAAGCGUUGUCCGGAAUUAUUGGGCGUAAAGAGCGUGUAGGCGGCUUUACAGGUCCGUUGUGAAAACUCGAGGCUCAACCUCGAGACGCCGGUGGAAACCGUAAAGCUAGAGUCCGGAAGAGGAGACUGGAAUUCCUGGUGUAGCGGUGAAAUGCGCAGAUAUCAGGAGGAACACCGGUGGCGAAGGCGGGUCUCUGGGCCGAUAUUGACGUGAGGAGCGAAAGCGUGGGGAGCAAACAGG
rnacentral:rRNA from 1 species